GGGAGCUGCCGGCCCACCUUGCUGACUGGCCGCAUGUCGUAGCAGCUUCUCCAGGCCAAGGAGGCUCGAGGUGAUUUAGGUGCCACGUGUGCGUCAUUUGGACUUGGCAUGGGGGCCUAUGAAGUGUCCCGCAAGGGGGUGGGAUGAAUUGAGGGGCCGGAGAACCUGUGUGGAAUAUAUUAGCCUCUAGCAUAGGGGUUCUCAACCAAGUCCUCGGGACCCCCUACCAGUCCAGGAUUUGGG